UAGCAUAUCAAUAAGCGGAGGAAAAGAAACCAACAGGGAUUGCCCCAGUAACGGCGAGUGAAGCGGCAACAGCUCAAAUUUGAAAUCUGGCCCCAGGCCCGAGUUGUAAUUUGCAGAGGAUGCUUUUGGCGCGGUGCCUUCCGAGUUCCCUGGAACGGGACGCCAUAGAGGGUGAGAGCCCCGUACGGUUGGACACCAAGCCUUUGUAAAGCUCCUUCGACGAGUCGAGUAGUUUGGGAAUGCUGCUCUAAAUGGGAGGUACAUUUCUUCUAAAGCUAAAUAUUGGCCAGAGACCGAUAGCGCACAAGUAGAGUGAUCGAAAGAUGAAAAGCACUUUGAAAAGAGGGUUAAACAGCACGUGAAAUUGUUAAAAGGGAAGCGCUUGUGACCAGACUUGCGUCCGGUGAAUCACCCAGCUCUCGCGGCUGGGGCACUUCGCCGGCACAGGCCAGCAUCAGCUUGCCGUCGGGGACAAAAGCUUCAGGAACGUGGCUCCUCUCGGGGAGUGUUAUAGCCUGUUGCACAAUACCCUUCGGCGGGCUGAGGUACGCGCUCCGCAAGGAUGCUGGCGUAAUGGUCAUCAGCGACCCGUCUUGAAACACGGACCAAGGAGUCAACCUUAUGUGCGAGUGUUUGGGUGUUAAACCCCUACGCGUAAUGAAAGUGAACGCAGGUGAGAGCUUCGGCGCAUCAUCGACCGAUCCUGAUGUUCUCGGAUGGAUUUGAGUAAGAGCAUAUAGGGUUGGACCCGAAAGAAGGUGAACUAUGCGUGUGUAGGGUGAAGCCAGAGGAAACUCUUGGUGGAGGCUCGCAGCGGUUCUGACGUGCAAAUCGAUCGUCAAACAUGCGCAUGGGGGGCGAAAGACUAAUCGAAACCUCCUA
rnacentral:rRNA from 1 species